AGUGAACGCUGGCGGUAGGCCUAACACAUGCAAGUCGAACGGCAGCACAGGAGAGCUUGCUCUCUGGGUGGCGAGUGGCGGACGGGUGAGGAAUACAUCGGAAUCUACUCUGUCGUGGGGGAUAACGUAGGGAAACUUACGCUAAUACCGCAUACGACCUACGGGUGAAAGCAGGGGAUCUUCGGACCUUGCGCGAUUGAAUGAGCCGAUGUCGGAUUAGCUAGUUGGCGGGGUAAAGGCCCAACAAGGCGACGAUCGGUAGCCGGUCUGGAGGGAUGAUAGGCCACACUGGAACUGAGACACGGUCCAGACUCCUACGGGAGGCAGCAGUGGGGAAUAUUGGACAAUGGGCGCAAGCCUGAUCCAGCCAUACCGCGUGGGUGAAGAAGGCCUUCGGGUUGUAAAGCCCUUUUGUUGGGAAAGAAAUCCAGCUGGCUAAUACCCGGUUGGGAUGACGGUACCCAAAGAAUAAGCACCGGCUAACUUCGUGCCAGCCGCCGCCGUAA
rnacentral:rRNA from 1 species